UGCAGUCGAGCGCAGGAGCCGUCUGAACCCUUCGGGGGGACGACGGUGGAAUGAGCGGCGGACGGGUGAGUAACACGUAAAGAACCUGCCCAUAGGUCUGGGAUAACCACGAGAAAUCGGGGCUAAUACCGGAUGUGUCAUCGGACCGCAUGGUCCGCUGAUGAAAGGCGCUCCGGCGUCGCCCAUGGAUGGCUUUGCGGUGCAUUAGCUAGUUGGUGGGGUAACGGCCCACCAAGGCGACGAUGCAUAGCCGACCUGAGAGGGUGAUCGGCCACACUGGGACUGAGACACGGCCCAGACUCCUACGGGAGGCAGCAGUAGGGAAUCUUCCACAAUGGACGAAAGUCUGAUGGAGCAACGCCGCGUGAACGAUGAAGGCUUUCGGGUCGUAAAGUUCUGUUGUAAGGGAAGAACAAGUGCCGCAGGCAAUGGCGGCACCUUGACGGUACCUUGCGAGAAAGCCACGGCUAACUACGUGCCAGCAGCCGCGGUAAUACGUAGGUGGCAAGCGUUGUCCGGAAUUAUUGGGCGUAAAGCGCGCGCAGGCGGCCUCUUAAGUCUGAUGUGAAAGCCCCCGGCUCAACCGGGGGAGGGCCAUUGGAAACUGGGGAGGCUUGAGUAUAGGAGAGAAGAGUGGAAUUCCACGUGUAGCGGUGAAAUGCGUAGAGAUGUGGAGGAACACCAGUGGCGAAAGCGACUCUUGGCCUAUAACUGACGCUGAGGCGCGAAGCGUGGGGAGCAAACAGGAUUAGAUA
rnacentral:rRNA from 1 species